GUUGGGGCAACACUUCAAUAACUGUGUAAUAAGAAAUUGCUCUGUGCAUUAUUAAAAUGAAAUACGUCUUACAACUGCAUUCUAAUGCUGGCUGGUAAUCAUACAUACGGGUAAAUUUACGUUUCAGGCGUUGCCUGUAUGGAGUACUCGACACAAAUUAUGGCAUUUCCUAUUGGCCAAUAACAAGUUAGUAUGAAACAAUAGAAAGUGUUUCGUGAUUAAUAUUUUCUUUUAUCAAAAGUGUAAAAUGAAUUAUAAAUUCUAGAAGUGUAAACUGCCUCUGACAAACCAUGAAAUUAAAUUGUGACUACUAUGGACUAAGAAAAUCCGUCUUGUAAGGACACCUCUGUCACUUCGAAGAAGCCUAAUCUGGCUCUUAAGUGAACGUAAUUGCUGACCCCUGGUAUGGGAAGAAGAAUUGAUUGUGGCGUGGGACUAAGUCCCUCGUACUGCGGC